rnacentral:piRNA from 1 species
UUACCCAUUCCAGGAAAGAAGGGAGGUAA